rnacentral:rRNA from 1 species
AGAGUUUGAUCCUGGCUCAGAAUCAACGCUGGCGGCGUGCCUCAGACAUGCAAGUCGAACGAGAAAUCCCGAGCAAUCGGGAGAGUAAAGUGGCGCACGGGUGAGUAACACGUAGGUAAUCUACCUUCGGGUGGGGAAUAACCCAGGGAAACUUGGGCUAACACCGCAUAAUGCAGCGGCACCACAUGGUGACAGUUGUUAAAGCGGGGGAUUUUCGAACCUCGCGCCUGAAGAGGAGCCUGCGGCGGAUUAGCUAGUUGGUAAGGUAACGGCUUACCAAGGCGACGAUCCGUAGCCGGCCUGAGAGGGCGGUCGGCCACACUGACACUGACAUACGGGUCAGACUCCUACGGGAGGCAGCAGUCGGGAAUUUUGGGCAAUGGGCGAAAGCCUGACCCAGCAACGCCGCGUGAAGGAUGAAAUCCCUCGGGAUGUAAACUUCGCAAGAAUGGGAAGAAUUAGUAGGGGUUAAUACCCCCUAUGAUGACGGUACCAUUUGUAAGCUCCGGCUAACUCCGUGCCAGCAGCCGCGGUAAUACGGGGGGAGCAAGCGUUGUUCGGAUUUACUGGGCGUAAAGGGCGCGUAGGCGGCCAGCACAAGUCGGUUGUGAAAUCUCCGGGCUUAACCCGGAAAGGUCAACCGAUACUGUGCGGCUAGAGUGCGGAAGGGGCAACUGGAAUUCUCGGUGUAGCGGUGAAAUGCGUAGAUAUCGAGAGGAACACCUGCGGCGAAGGCGGGUUGCUGGGCCGACACUGACGCUGAGGCGCGAAAGCCAGGGGAGCGAACGGGAUUAGAUACCCCGGUAGUCCUGGCCGUAAACGAUGGAUACUAGGUGUGGGAGGUAUCGACCCCUUCCGUGCCGCAGCUAACGCAUUAAGUGCCCCGCCUGGGGAGUACGGCCGCAAGGUUGAAACUCAAAGGAAUUGACGGGGGCCCGCACAAGCAGCGGAGCGUGUGGUUUAAUUCGACGCAACGCGCAGAACCUUACCAGGGCUUGAAAAGUCGGCGACCGCUCCUGAAAGGGGGCUUUCCGCAAGGA